GGAGAGGUGUCAGAGUGGUCGAAUGAGCCGCUCUCGAAAAGCGGUAUACCUGGAAAGGUAUCGAGGGUUCGAAUCCCUCUCUCUCCG
rnacentral:tRNA from 1 species